rnacentral:rRNA from 1 species
UGGGGAAUCUUACACAAUGGGGGCAACCCUGAUGCAGCGACGCCGCGUGAGCGAUGAAGCCCUUCGGGGCGUAAAGCUCUUUCGACCGGAACGAUAAUGACGGUACCGGGAGAAGAAGCUGCGGCUAACUACGUGCCAGCAGCCGCGGUAAUACGUAGGCAGCAAGCGUUGUUCGGAGUUACUGGGCGUAAAGAGUGCGUAGGCGGUUUUCUAAGUUCGGUGUGAAAUCUCCCGGCUUAACUGGGAGGGUGCGCCGAAGACUGGGAAGCUGGAGUGUGGGAAAGGCAGGCGGAAUUCCUGGUGUAGCGGCGAAAUGCGUAGAUAUCAGGAGGAACACCGGCGGUGUAGACGGCUUGCUAGACCAUAACUGACGCUGAGGCACGAAAGCGUGGGUAGCAAACA